AACUUGUGUUGUGGGCAUCAUUUCAAAAGAUCCUUGUAUCUUUCCUAAGCUUCAUAGAGUGUCUCACCAUCUUGUUGAGUGAAAAAUGCAAUGUCAUGUCAAAGUU